rnacentral:misc_RNA from 1 species
GUGAAUCAUCGAAUUUUUGAACGCAAAUUGCGCUCUCUUCGGAGAGUAUGCCUGUUUGUGGGUCAGCCUAAAUAAUAAUCGACAUAUUCGCUUGGUCGCGGUUACUUUCGUUGGAGGUUUGGUCAUCUUAUAACUUUGGGUUGUUAGCGGCUUAAAAUUUUCUUUACGAUUCGACGUAUGUUUCUAACAUUUAUUUCUUAUAAUUUUAAGUUUUC